CAUUAUGCUUUGCCCUAAACAUUGAUAGUUCUUUACACCUACUAUCCGCCCGGGUACUACGAGCAACAGCUUAAAACCCAAAGGACUUGGCGGUGCUUUAGACCCACCUAGAGGAGCCUGUUCUAAAACCGAUAACCCCCGUUCAACCUCACCUUUUCUUGUUCUCCCCGCCUAUAUACCGCCGUCGUCAGCUUACCCUAUGAAGGCCCCCCAGUAAGCACAAUUGGUACAGCCCAAUACGUCAGGUCGAGGUGUAGCGUAUGGAAAGGGAAGAAAUGGGCUACAUUCACUGGCACAGUGAAUUACGAAAAAUACCACUGAAACGUGUAUCUAGAAGGAGGAUUUAGCAGUAAGCAGAAAAUAGAGCGUUCUGCUGAAACUGGCCCUGAAGCGCGCACACACCGCCCGUCACUCUCCCCAAGCAUAUCUCAUCACAUAACUCAAAACCCUUUAACAGCAAAGGGGAGGCAAGUCGUAA
rnacentral:rRNA from 1 species